AUUCUUGAAAAAAUCAUAAUUGCAGUUGUUUACAUUGUUGUGUUGCCAGCUCUCAGUUAUUAUGCUCAUAUUCUUUAUUCUAUGUAAUAUGUGUGGAAAAAAUUUAAAUCCUAGGUUGCUCCUGGCGUAACUCUGUAGACUCAACAUCUGGAACUCUUUCUCUAUUUUCAAGUUAAUGUAUUCUCAGAGCAUGCAAAAUAAUUUGAAUGACUGCCUAAGGAAGCACUAAUACAUGCUAAAACAUUAUGUUUUCUAUAGCUAAAGAGCCCUUUGCAGCCACAGUUUUUUCAAAUAUUCCUAGAAAACAAGAUCUGGCUGAACUGAAAAUACUGAUAGUAUAAUCAAUAAGUUAGACUUGUUAAACAAAGAGUAAAGAAAUGCAACAUCUGAAUUCUUUAAAGCCACAAGCCAGAGGAACAGAUCUAAAGCACUGACUACUUAAAGCAUUUUCUAUCUUCAAACUUCUAGAAAAACAAAUAUUACAGAAGCCUUCUGUUCUAUUUCACAAAUCCUGACUGGUUUGAAGUGAAAGGAAAUCAAGACACUAAACAAGUCAAGAAAAAAACCUUAAAUACCAUAAAAUAUUUAUUAAAAAGACAUUAUAAUUUGCAAUGUAUUUUGCAGGGAAAAAAUGGAAGCAGGAAUUGAAUGCCUAGCUUUGAAAAAUGGAAGCAGGAAUUGAAUGCCUAGCUAUGAAACCAGUAGGCCUCUGAGAGUUUCACUGUAUUUGCAAAAUAAGGGAUUUGGUUACAUGAUCUCCAAGUUUUAUUUUCUGCCAAAUAGUCCGUGGGUAACCAGGCUUCAGAGUUCCCCAAAUGGUCUGAUGAAACCCAAUGUGGGAAUGGACAAAGAAGUAAGGCUGCCUCCCAGGGUCACUCAGCUGCAUGGUGACAGGAUGGAGGCUGGUGCCUGCACCUCUGAAAAGAAGGGCAAAGCCUUCUUUGCAUUGCACUUCCAGGCAUGGAUCACACUGAUGCAGCCUGGUUCAUUUAUCCCUAGCUGUGCCUUCAACAGCAGCUGACAGAUGAUGGGACAAGUUCUGAUACAACUCACAGCCCUAAGCAUGAUUGGGACCUGCAGUGCUCAAAUCUGUACAAAGAAAACAUAGGCCAGGUGCGGUGGCUCAGGCCUAUAAACCCAACACUUUGGAGGUCGAGGCGGGCAGAUCACUUGAGGUCAGAAGUUCGAGAC
rnacentral:lncRNA from 10 species